GAUGAAGAACGUAGCGAAAUGCGAUAAGUAAUGUGAAUUGCAGAAUUCAGUGAAUCAUCGAAUCUUUGAACGCACAUUGCGCCCGCCAGCACUCUGGCGGGCAUGCCUGUUCGAGCGUCAUUUCAACCAUCAAGCCCCCAGGGGCUUGUGCUGGGGCCCUGCGGCUGCCCGCAGGCCCUGAAAACCAGAGGCGGGCUCGCUAGUCACACCGAGCGCAGUAGCACAUCUCGCUCAGGGCGUGCGGCGGGCUCCUGCCGUGAAACCCCCCACUGUAACCCCAAAGGUUGACCUCGGAUCAGGUAGGAAUACCCGCUGAACUUAAGCAUAUCAAUAAGCGGAGGA
rnacentral:misc_RNA from 1 species